rnacentral:rRNA from 1 species
AAAAAAGGUAAGCUACUAAGAGCGAAUGGUGGAUGCCUUGACUGGUAAAGGCGAUGAAGGACGUACUAGACUGCGAUAAGCUACGGGGAGCUGUCAAGAAGCUUUGAUCCGUAGAUUUCCGAAUGGGGCAACCCAAUGUAUAGAGAUAUACAUUACCUAUAUAGGAGCGAACGAGGGGAAUUGAAACAUCUUAGUACCCUCAGGAAAAGAAAUCAAUAGAGAUUGCGUCAGUAGCGGCGAGCGAAAGCGCAAGAGGGCAAACCCAGUGCUUGCACUGGGGGUUGUAGGACUGCAAUGUGCAAGAGGUAAGUUUAGCAGAACAUUCUGGAAAGUAUAACCAUAGAGGGUGAUAGUCCCGUAUGCGAAAAACAAACCUUAGCCAGCAGUAUCCUGAGUAGGGCGGGACACGAGGAAUCCUGUCUGAAUCUGGGUCGACCACGAUCCAACCCUAAAUACUAAUACCAGAUCGAUAGUGCACAAGUACCGUGAGGGAAAGGUGAAAAGAACUGAGGUGAUCAGAGUGAAAUAGAACCUGAAACCAUUUGCUUACAAUCAUUCAGAGCCCUAUGUAGCAAUACAGGGUGAUGGACUGCCUUUUGCAUAAUGAGCCUGCGAGUUGUGGUGUCUGGCAAGGUUAAGCAAACGCGAAGCCGUAGCGAAAGCGAGUCUGAAUAGGGCGCUUAGUCAGAUGCUGCAGACCCGAAACGAAGUGAUCUAUCCAUGAGCAAGUUGAAGCUAGUGUAAGAACUAGUGGAGGACUGAACCCAUAGGCGUUGAAAAGCCCCGGGAUGACUUGUGGAUAGGGGUGAAAGGCCAAUCAAACUUCGUGAUAGCUGGUUCUCUCCGAAAUAUAUUUAGGUAUAGCGUUGUGUCGUAAUAUAAGGGGGUAGAGCACUGAAUGGGCUAGGGCAUACACCAAUGUACCAAACCCUAUCAAACUCCGAAUACCUUAUAUGUAAUCACAGCAGUCAGGCGGCGAGUGAUAAAAUCCGUCGUCAAGAGGGAAACAACCCAGACUACCAGCUAAGGUCCCUAAAUCUUACUUAAGUGGAAAACGAUGUGAAGUUACUUAAACAACCAGGAGGUUGGCUUAGAAGCAGCCAUCCUUUAAAGAAAGCGUAAUAGCUCACUGGUCUAGUGAUUUUGCGCGGAAAAUAUAACGGGGCUAAAGU